rfam:Sclerotinia sclerotiorum 1980 scaffold_17 genomic scaffold, whole genome shotgun sequence.
UCGGAGUGGGACAAGCUAGCUCAGAAUUCAUUUCUUGCCUUUUACCAGAGAUGACCGUGGCUCAUGCCCAUAAUACUCCAUUCAUCAAAUAUUUGGAACAAACCUUUCUGAUUACUCAGAGAU